ACGGAACUUUUUUAAAGAUUUCUUCGGAAUGAAUUUGAUUAAGUUUAGUGGCGGACGGGUGAGUAACGCGUGAGUAACCUGCCUCUAAGAGGGGAAUAACAUUCUGAAAAGAAUGCUAAUACCGCAUAACAUAUAUUUAUCGCAUGGUAGAUAUAUCAAAGAUUUAUCGCUUAGAGAUGGACUCGCGUCCGAUUAGUUAGUUGGUGAGGUAACGGCUCACCAAGACUGCGAUCGGUAGCCGGACUGAGAGGUUGAACGGCCACAUUGGGACUGAGACACGGCCCAGACUCCUACGGGAGGCAGCAGUGGGGGAUAUUGCGCAAUGGGGGAAACCCUGACGCAGCAACGCCGCGUGAAGGAUGAAGGUCUUCGGAUUGUAAACUUCUUUUAUUAAGGACGAAGAAAGUGACGGUACUUAAUGAAUAAGCUCCGGCUAACUACGUGCCAGCAGCCGCGGUAAUACGUAGGGAGCAAGCGUUGUCCGGAUUUACUGGGUGUAAAGGGUGCGUAGGCGGCUUUGCAAGUCAGAUGUGAAAUCUAUGGGCUCAACCCAUAGCCUGCAUUUGAAACUGCAGAGCUUGAGUGAAGUAGAGGCAGGCGGAAUUCCCCGUGUAGCGGUGAAAUGCGUAGAGAUGGGGAGGAACACCAGUGGCGAAGGCGGCCUGCUGGGCUUUAACUGACGCUGAGGCACGAAAGCGUGGGUAGCAA
rnacentral:rRNA from 1 species